rnacentral:sRNA from 12 species
GUCCUAUACAGAUGUAUUCAACGCAAGGCAGUUGAGCAUCUCCCUUUAGGAUGAAGUUUAAUUAGAAGCUUUGACAAUAAUUUUCAUUGUGUGGCUAUGUAUGUAUAGUUGAAAUGAGACGCGUCAGAGUGGAAUAGGUUAGCCGUAAGACCUUGAGUUGGAGAACUCUAAAAUUGAGCUAGAGAUGUGAAUUACUAAAUUUAGUAUUUUCUAGUUACGGUAUC